rnacentral:rRNA from 1 species
CCUACGGGAGGCAGCAGUGAGGAAUAUUGGUCAAUGGGCGUAAGCCUGAACCAGCCAAGUCGCGUGAGGGAUGACUGCCCUACGGGUCGUAAACCUCUUUUAUAAAGGAAUAAAGUGCGGCACGUGUCCCUUUUUGUAUGUACCUUAUGAAUAAGGAUCGGCUAACUCCGUGCCAGCAGCCGCGGUAAUACGGAGGAUCCGAGCGUUAUCCGGAUUUAUUGGGUUUAAAGGGAGCGUAGAUGGCUUGUUAAGUCAGUGGUGAAAGUUUGUGGCUCAACCGUAAAAUUGCCAUUGAUACUGGGAGCCUUGAGUAUAGUUGAGGUAGGCGGAAUUCGUGGUGUAGCGGUGAAAUGCUUAGAUAUCACGCAGAACCCCGAUUGCGAAGGCAGCCUGCUAAGCCGUGACUGACACUGAUGCUCGAAAGCGUGGGUAUCAAACAGGAUUAGAUACCCGAGUAGUC